AUGACUGGAAGUAAGUACCGGAAUCUAAAACCAAGCGAAAUACGUUUUUGUCAGAACUCAAUCGGGAAUGAAUUCAACAUGAAAAGCAAACAUGCCGACAAAAAAGUCGGUGAGACAUUAGAUGACUUGCUGAGAGGACAAUGUGCUAUCUCGAAUAUACCUAUUAUAACUGUUGUUUGUUAUGGAGGAGAUUGGUACACCGCCGAUAACAGAAGACUGUGGGUUUUCAAAUGGCUUCAAAGGCUUGGCAGAUGUGACGAAAUCCUUGUUAAAAUAGGCCGUCGAAUACCCCCUAAUAAAUUCACAGCAAAAUAUAACAAGAAGCCCUUUCAUGUACGAGGUGAUGAUCCAGGGGGUGUUUUGUGGAAACGGUUGGCUAAUGAGCAGAAAGCUGAUGAAAAUCCGUCUGAAACACUCUCAAACAUGCAUCAUGAGAGGCCUGUUCCAGAACUCUGUGAUGAAGUAGGGCCAACGAAUGGUCGAUGUUCCUCUCGCCCUUAUGAGAAUCAAAGAAAUGAUGCAUCCCCUUCCGUGAUGGGAAUACACUACAAUCAAGACGAGGUAAAUGAUGAAAGGUCCGCUGAUAAAGACUUUUAACAAGAGACAGACGGGAAUAUCCAAGACAAAAUGUUGGCUGGUCUACUCCAUUACAAUCUCCUCCUCCGGAUUUGUCUUUUCACUUGAGAAGUCUCUCUCUUAGCGACUCGAAGAUUGAAUUGCUGGACCCGGAAGAUGUUCGUUACACCAAAACAACUAUCAAAGCUCCCCCUUCUGGUUCUUCCUACCAACACACAAAUCCUAUUCUCGUGUACCGUGCUUUCGACGAGAACUGGGCGUUGGACGGAAAUCGACGGUUAUGUUCGUUCAAGAAAGCUAGGGAGUACAACAGGGGGCAGACGAUCCAGGCCAUUGUGAAGGACGACGAGGAUGAGUUCUUGGAGAAAAUGAGGUCUGACCGACCCUGGCUAACCGUGUUGGACAUUUUGCAAAUGGGUGAAACAGAAACAGUAGAAUGAUGUGAUAAAACCGUGUACUUUUUUGACAAAUUCCUAUUACAUAGUACACUACCACCGUAAUAGUACACUACCACCGUAAUAGUACACUACCACCGUAAUAGUACACUACCACAGUAACAGUACACUACCACCGUAAUAGUACACUACCACCAUAACAGUACACUACCACCGUAACAGUACACUACCACCGUAACAGUACACUACCACCGUAAUAGUACACUACCACCGUAACAGUACACUACCACCGUAACAGUACACUACCACCGUAGUAGUACACUAUCACCGUAAUAGUACACUACUACUACAAUUUUUUUACAUCAAAACUAAGAAGGUAUUCGUUGAUUUUCAGCCUUUGCAUAUUUUAUGAGGAAAUAGGUCUCGCUGUGAUGAAUAGUCAAAAUAUUUUUCAGCUGUACCUAUUAUGUCAUUUUUACGAAUCCAAUAUUGUGUGUGCUAAAGUGCGAAUUUGUCUAGUAAUGCAGUAUUUGAUAAAACGGGACCUGUCUGUCCGGGCACCUGCCUGUCCGACUCGUAGUCAGUAUAUUGAUAUACUUCUCAGGAACUACUGAUUGACUUUUCUUGAAACGUUUAUGUACAUUUCAAGUUUGAGUUCCAUUUGGACAAGCCAGAUUUUGAACCUGAUUCAAUUUUAAUUUAACACAUGAGUCCCAAAUUUUUUAUUCGACGUUUGAAGUAUGUUACCAACUUACUAGUAUUCCUCAGUGAUUACCGAAAAUGCAUCGAGUCUCUAUUAACAUGUUAAUAUCAGUUCUAGUUGUUCUAGUUCCGCUGUCCUCGUGGAACAUACCUAAAAACAUUUAAUUAACAUAAUAAAGCUCUCAUUCAGAAAUCAUAUUCAUAAUAUAUUCAUAAAUUUGGAUUCGUAAGUAUCCUAUGAUCAGAAAAAAAUCUUAUCAAAAUAUAUUAAUACUCUACUAAUCAUUCCUAAGAGCCAGCGACUGUGACCGGUGAAGCCAUAAUUUGGUUGAUCUAUUUCCAAUAUCAGUAUCUGUGAGUACAGAUAUUUCCAAUUUAUUCUAAAGAUUGCAUAUGUACUCAUCACUACGUCUAAAUAAGUUGUUGAUAUUACAAUAUAUUUGGCCGUAACUAAUAUAAUUGUCGUCGUUAGGUAUGUAACCAGGCAUAAUAGCAUUUUGUGGAUGGACACAUGUACAUUAAACAUUCCGAUAAAUCA